UCAAUGGAGAGGGUGAAUCCACGUCCAUCUUUCCUGUUCCUUUCUUCCUUUCCACGUUUCUUUCUUCCUUACAAAUCCCCCUUCAUUCAUCUACCUCAUCCAUUCAUCUGCCUCAUCCAGUUCAAGAACUUCAGAUUGAAUCAAUACACCACAGCUCAUCUUCAUCUUCAUAUUUCUGCAGAACCAACACACCACUGUCUGCCUGCUUAUCUUCUUGAAGGUCUUAUCUAAUUCUAAUCCAUGGCAAAUAUUGUUCGUACCACACACAUAAUUGAAAGAAACCUUUUGAUCUUGUUAAAGCUCUAAACUUUUUGUGCUUGAUUCUUGUUGUGAGUGUUGGUGUGUGUGGCGUGAGUCGGGGAUGUAGCAGGGCAGAGGGGCCUCGGCGGCGGCGGCAGCGGUGACUGCUGCCCGUUCCGAUGAGAGGGCGAGGGAGAUGGAGGUGGUCGAGAGCGGCAGCAGUGGCCGUGGGGCUGUUGCUGUCCGACCAGAGGAGAGGAGAAGGCGGCGGCGAUGGUCGUGAGAUGAAAUGGGCGUACGUGGGUGGCGAUUCUCACCGUGAAUGGAGGGUGAAGCGGCAGCAACCCGCCCGUUAGCUGUUGUCGUAGGUGCGAAAAGAGGAAGAGGAGAAAAUUAGGGAUUUAGGGAGAAGGGAAUUUUAGGGAUUUGAGGCGUGGAGAGUCAGGGUAGGAAGGAGAGGUGGUGGCCGGCUGGAAAAGCGGCGGCGACGGCCGCCAGAGUUGCAUAUGCCGCCGGACUGCGCGCGGGAGAGAGUUGAGACAGGGAGAGAGGGUGUCGCGGUGAGGAGAGGGACAAAGGGAGGUGAGAGAUGAGGGAAGGGAGCAAGGUCGAAGGGGGAAGAGAGAGGAGGCAGGGCCGCCGGCCUCCGGCGACGGCGUGCCGUCCGGUGGCGGCGGCAGGAAGAAGCGUGAGGCAGAAAGGGAGAGGGAGGAUUUUCAGUGUGUGCGCGUGCGCUGAAGUGUGUGUGCGUGUGUUAAUGUGUGUGUGAGAGUGUGUGUUAUGUGAAAGAAAGGGAGAAUAGGAAUUAAGAAGAAAAUGUGUUGGGCCUUUGCAAUUUAUUGAAUAUGGGCUUUAUAUUACUAGACUUGAUUGAAAAUGGGCUUAGUUGUUUAUAAUUAUUUUUGAGUCUGCUUAAUUAUUGAUCAUGGUUUAAUAUUUGUUGAUUAAUGGAAUAAUAUGACCUAUAAUGAGAAUUAUUUGAUUUGUGAUUAAUGAGAUUAUAAUCAAUUUAGAUUGAUUAGAAAGUAUUAAUUCAUGACAUACUUGAUUAAUGAAUUGAUGAAUGAAAAUGCAUCAAAAUUUUAUUAUGUGCAUAUAGUUGAAUGUAAUUUACAUGUUAUUUGGUUAAUGUAUUUAUGAAAUUAUAUUGUGACUAUGAAAGAAAAAUAUUUAUGCAUUGACAUUCUUUUUAAGUUAGUUUUAUGAAAAGUCGAGCAAAGGGUAUUGUUGGUACUCUUAGCUGAAAAUUAAUUUUUAAGAUUAUAAAGUGAGUUUUAAAAAUCCGGGCAUAGCGAAUCAGAAUUUAGUAGCCUCACUUUGCUAAUAUCUAAGGCUAGUAUCACGAGACCUAUUAAGUUUAGAUUAUCUUGUAGGUUCAAUUGACUAAGAGGAUUAGCAUUGCUUUUACGAGACAAGUUACGUUUGACUUCGAACUUUGUCCAAUCAAGGUUGAUCGGUUGGUGCAGAUGGGGUUGAGCUGAGGCUUGGAUUCUACUUCGUCUUUUGCUUCCGCUAACGACUAGCUUGCUAUCUUAUCUUUCAAUCCCUUAAACUAAGAUCUUCUAUCAUAUGGUGCAGUAUUAUCUUGUUGAGCUUAGACUCUUAAUUUGUAUUUCUAUUAAUGAAGUCAUCAUUGAUUAUGAUCAGAGUCGCAUAACUAAACUUAUGUGAUCCUGUGAGUUUCAAUAUUAUCAAUUGAUUGGCAUCACUCAAUGCCUUUCGUUU